rnacentral:rRNA from 1 species
GACAGAGGUGCCGAGCGUUAGGCGGAAUCACUGGGCUUAAAGCGUGUGUAGGCGGGUCGUUAAGUGCCUUGUGAAAUCCCACAGCUCACCUGUGGAACUGCUUGGCAUACUGGCGAUCUUGAGCCACUUAGGGGCAGCCGGAACAGAUGGUGGAGCGGUGAAAUGCGUAGAUAUCAUCUGGAACGCCAAUGGUGCAGACAGGCUGCUGGGAAUGAACUGACGCUGAGGCACGAAAGCCAGGGGAGCGAACGGG